UACGUAGGUGGCAAGCGUUGUCCGGAAUUAUUGGGCGUAAAGCGCGCGCAGGCGGUCCCUUAAGUCUGAUGUGAAAGCCCAAGGCUCAACCGUGGAGGGUCAUUGGAAACUGGGGGACUUGAGUACAGAAGAGGAAAGCGGAAUUCCACGUGUAGCGGUGAAAUGCGUAGAGAUGUGGAGGAACACCAGUGGCGAAGGCGGCUUUCUGGUCUGUAACUGACGCUGAGGCGCGAAAGCGUGGGGAGCAAACAGG
rnacentral:rRNA from 1 species